UACAAAACAAAUGAAAUCAAUGAAAAGAAAAAAAAAAAUCUAAAACUAAAAUCUAAAACCGAAACCGAAACCGAAUCGUUUAUCACAUGAACCCUAAAAUCUAAAACUAAAAUUAAACGCUAACUAGGAGGAAUCCAAGCCUCUCAGGCUAGGGCUUUUAUUCCUCAAUCCACAAGCUACAUUAUGGUAACUUGAAUCAAGGCAAAAGGAUGGGAAAGGAGGAUAUCUUACCUACGAGGAUGAGGUUCUCCCCAAUUUUGUAUGAAUUGAUGAAGGCGAAGAUGAAAUUCGAAGAGCAGCCACCAAUAUUCUGAUUUGAGCUUGGUCAAGUGACUUGGCACGGUGUUGUGAAGGUUAGGCAUGGCAUUAAUCAAAGUGGGAAUCAUGAAGAAACCUAUGGCAUGAAGAGACGCCGGAUGCCUUGUAAAUGAAGGAGCAAGUGGGAUAUAAAUUAGGGUUAGGACUUAGUGGUUAGGAUGUUGACUUUGGUCAACUCGUUGACCAAAAGUCAAUAGUUGACCAAUGUUAACUAUAGGUCAAAGUUUGCAUUUUUGUGUAAUUCUAGGAUUUGUGGAAUGAUGUAAUGAUAUAUAAAUGGGUGAUGGAUUUGUACACCUUAUUUUGUAAAUGAAAUUGACCUUGAAUGUGCUCCUUGAA